UACGAAGGGGGCUAGCGUUGCUCGGAAUGACUGGGCGUAAAGGGCGCGUAGGCGGAUGGCACAGUCAGAUGUGAAAUUCCCGGGCUUAACCUGGGGGCUGCAUUUGAUACGUGUUGUCUUGAGUUCGGAAGAGGGUCGUGGAAUUCCCAGUGUAGAGGUGAAAUUCGUAGAUAUUGGGAAGAACACCGGUGGCGAAGGCGGGUCUCUGGGCAGUAACUGACGCUGAGGAGCGAAAGCUAGGGGAGCAAACGGG
rnacentral:rRNA from 1 species